CUUGCCAAUACAUGUAAGGAGAUAAGAGGAGAAGGACGAAGACAAUGUAAUAGGCAAAUGAAUGAUUAAAUUACAUAGAACUGGUUAAAUAAUAACAUCACAAUCGUUCAUUUAUCUUAUCACACAAGUUAGAUUACAAAGUACUUUUGAAGCAAACUUGGGAUGCCCAAAGAUGAGUAUAGAGAAAGCGCUUUGAAGGCUAAGCCCUUCAAAGUUAGGAGGUGUGAGUGAAUUGUUUCGUGGGGUUGUAUGCAUGGGCACUAUUUAACUAUUUAUAGGGACCUGAUGCUAUACAUCUUAGUGUGAAAUUACAUCGAUUACAUGAAUUCUCUACACAAGAACUAUGCGAUUGUAGAAGUCUAUUUUUGUCUUCUCACUCAUAAGACGUGUUGCACACGAAUCUCCUGAGUUCCCUCGGCUUUUCAAUGCUCGAGUUUAGACGAAGCUCUAUCCGAAUGCCACUCUACGAAGUAGGCACCAAUAGUACAAUGAAGCUUCAUUUCAUCUGUGCUAACGAAGUCUUGCUUCUUCCUAUGACUUGAUGAAUUGAACAAUCGAAGCUUGUGUCACCUAGCUCCUGAAAUAGACUUCAAACAUUGAGACCCGUUACUUGAGGACCUUCAGCAAAGCCUUCUUCC
rnacentral:lncRNA from 7 species